AAUAUUUACAUAUCAUAAAGAGUAGAAAGUUUGAUGGUCAUUACUACAAUCACCAUGAUCGUAAUUAGACGAUCUCGGACUUGGCCUCGGCCUCUUCUGGGUCUUCGAAGUUGGGAUCCUUCACGUCCACGGCUUCCCUCUGGAUUCCGAUCUCAGCCUGAGAAUACCCAUCGCCAGCCCAAGUGUACUUGCCGCCGUGACCUCCCUUCUUGGGAGAUCCAUUCAUGCCAGUGGCCGAUUUCUUAUCACUCCUGACAUUGGACUUGGCAUUAUGAUUGGUUUUGAAACUCUUACCAGCGUUCUUCAUCCUCAGUCUAGGUCUGGUAUGCAGUUUUCGGCGAAGGAGAUGAUGCUAGAAUGCUUGCAGGAGGGUUUACAGACGGGGAAUC
rnacentral:misc_RNA from 1 species